ACUCUAUGUCGUUUAUAAUUUUGGAAAUCACAUCACUAGAGUACAUACGGAAUCUAAUUGAAACCGCUUAAUAUUAAAAUACACCGUUGUUAGCGCUCUUUAGCACAACAAAAAGAUUAUAAAAAAUUUUCACAGCUUAGGUGGUCAGAGCUUAGAUACCAAAAUGAAAAUCUCCAAUACCGACUUGAAUAAAAUUUGCUGGUGGUGCUGGUGGUGGUGGUUCUGGGACUGGUGGACGUGAUACAGCCGGUGAUGAUGGUGGUAAUGAUGCUGGUCCACCAUUUGCUGAUGAAUCUUGAUUUAAUGAAGGUGCUAAAGCACCUAAAUCAACUUGCAAUGAAAAUAUAUUACCUGCUUCAGGUUUAGCUAAUGCUAUACAAACCUAAAAAUAAAUAUUGCCUUUUUCUAGAUAUUAUGUGUAUAAUUAAGUAUAAUAAUAUUAUAACAGGAAUUACAAAAAUGUAAACAUC